UAUUUAAAUAGUUUAAUUAAAAUAUUAAUUUGUGGGAUUAAAGAUUAUAUAUAUAUUUAAAUAA
rnacentral:tRNA from 1 species